AGGUGAUAUGAACCGUUAUAACCGGCGAUUUCCGAAUGGGGAAACCCAGUGUGUUUCGACACACUAUCAUUAACUGAAUCCAUAGGUUAAUGAGGCGAACCGGGGGAACUGAAACAUCUAAGUACCCCGAGGAAAAGAAAUCAACCGAGAUUCCCCCAGUAGCGGCGAGCGAACGGGGAGGAGCCCAGAGCCUGAAUCAGUGUGUGUGUUAGUGGAAGCGUCUGGAAAGGCGCGCGAUACAGGGUGACAGCCCCGUACACAAAAAUGCACACAUUGUGAGCUCGAUGAGUAGGGCGGGACACGUGGUAUCCUGUCUGAAUAUGGGGGGACCAUCCUCCAAGGCUAAAUACUCCUGACUGACCGAUAGUGAACCAGUACCGUGAGGGAAAGGCGAAAAGAACCCCGGCGAGGGGAGUGAAAAAGAACCUGAAACCGUGUACGUACA
rnacentral:rRNA from 1 species